rnacentral:rRNA from 1 species
UCCUACGGGAGGCAGCAGUGAGGAAUAUUGGUCAAUGGAGGCAACUCUGAACCAGCCAUGCCGCGUGAAGGAUGAAGGUCCUCUGGAUUGUAAACUUCUUUUAUAGAAGAAGAAACCCCAGUAUUCUUAUUGGGUUGACGGUACUCUAUGAAUAAGCACCGGCUAACUCCGUGCCAGCAGCCGCGGUAAUACGGAGGGUGCAAGCGUUAUCCGGAUUUAUUGGGUUUAAAGGGUCCGUAGGCGGACCUAUAAGUCAGUGGUGNAAGCCUGUCGCUUAACGAUAGAACUGCCAUUGAUACUGUAAGUCUUGAGUAUAUUUGAGGUAGCUGGAAUAAGUA